rnacentral:rRNA from 1 species
UACGUAGGGGGCAAGCGUUGUCCGGAUUUAUUGGGCGUAAAGAGCGUGUAGGCGGCCAGGUAGGUCCGUUGUGAAAACUGGAGGCUUAACCUCCAGCUGUCGAUGGAAACCAUCUGGCUAGAGUCCGGAAGAGGAGAGUGGAAUUCCUGGUGUAGCGGUGAAAUGCGUAGAUAUCAGGAGGAACACCGGUGGCGAAGGCGGCCCUCUGGACGGUGACUGACGCUGAGACGCGAAAGCGUGGGGAGCAAACAGG